GUAAUUUCACUUUAAUGGCAAUGAGGUUCUUGUCAUUGCCAAUAAAGUCUUCUUGUAUAGGCCCUGUACUGAAGUUAUGCUAUAUUGUGCAACAUGUAGCAAGUGCUGUGGUUACAGUAGACUUGGCAAGUGUUUUUUUUUUUUUGUAAUGUAGACUUCCUAUAAAAUAUUCGUACAAAAAUAUUUUUGUACAAAAAAUAUUUGCCUAUGGAAUAUUUCACCCUCAUAGAUUAAUAACCCGCAUUUGAGAUCUUCCUUUUGAGAUCUUCCUUCGCGCCAAAGGUCGUUGUCCUGACAACAAGUCUCGCGAGCAGCUUAUUAUUACUUUUAACAGACAGUAAAUCAGCGUCUUUUCCGUAGUGUCUACUGCAGAAUGGAUAUAAAAGUAUAAAACACGUUUUGGUUUGACAACAUCGUUCAUAUGUGAACUAUCACAAUUAAAGCACAAAGACAUAAUAACAUCAUUACACCCCGAGGCCAUUCACAAGUGUGACAAAAGAGAAGAAACGCUUUCCGGAAGAGAAGUUCAUCAGGCGAGUUGGAGACUAGUCGACUCAUCCAGUUUAGCGGAGAGCAUCAACCCCUAAUUGACAUGAGGAAAUAAAUAAUUGAAAAGUGUUCAGGGUACAGUGUACCCCUCUUUGCAACAGAGAAAGCAUUAGGAAAGAGAAGAGAGAAAGUGAAAAGGCACUCAACAGAUGUUGCACUGUACACCAGCAUUUAUGUGCAGUAGUGUGACAUUAAUGUGUGGAAAUGGACAUUUUAUCAGUGUGUGAUUGCUAUUUUCACACUGGUAACAACUAAAAAAAGAUGACCAAAAAUAUAAUUCAACAGAAGAUGAUGGCUGUGGUGAAGCACUCAAAUAAUGGUGAGCAGUAAUCUACUUUAUUUAAUUGAUCUUAUAUUAACUAUUAUCUUUAUAGUUUAGAAUACAUAAUAACUGCUAUUGUAUUUCAGAAACUACGACCAGUGGGAGUCAAUCAAUCCAAACAAAAUUGCAUAUAUUUUUUUUUUCAUCUUGUAAAUGGUACAUACUAAUAAGUAUAAACAAUGAGGCCAAUUAGAUAAUGCCCACCUCUCAUGCUCACAGACAGUUCAAUAAUCAGCAUGAAUGCAUGAAACUGGAUAGACUAAUUACAGAGUAAAUAACUCACCCACUCAGACAUCACUUUCAAAAUGAACUUGAAACAUGAAAUGAUCUGUUUUAGAGCUUGUUUUUAGCUGCACGUAACGCACUUGAAUUUGCAGUUAAAAUGGCUGCGACCAUCAUGACACCUGCAGUAGAGGAACUGAUGACUAAUGAUCCAAAAAGAAGGUGAUAAGAGGUGCAGGAGGCUGAACAGUUAAUAUAAGCAUAAUCAUAUUUAUUCAGCCAUAGAAAGAUUAGCUAUGUAGGAGUAAGCUGGUUUUGAAACCCAAUACUCAGAAUCUGAAACUGUGGUUUCGUUAUUAAAGUGUUUAACUUUGACUUUUAGUUUAACAAGUGGCCAAAUAAAACUACAUAAGUUGUCAGGGACAUUAAAUCAGUGGUUCUC